GACGAACGCUGGCGGCGUGCUUAACACAUGCAAGUCGAACGGUAAGGCCCUUCGGGGUACACGAGUGGCGAACGGGUGAGUAACACGUGGGUGAUCUGCCCUGCACUUCGGGAUAAGCCUGGGAAACUGGGUCUAAUACCGGAUAGGACCACUGCCUGCAUGGGUGGUGGUGGAAAGCUUUUGCGGUGUGGGAUGGGCCCGCGGCCUAUCAGCUUGUUGGUGGGGGGAUGGCCUACCAAGGCGACGGCGGGUAGCCGGCCUGAGAGGGUGACCGGCGACCCUGGGACUAGGAUACGGCCCGGACUCCUACGGGAGGCAGCAGUGGGGAAUAUUGCUCAAUGGGCGCAAGCCUGAUGCAGCGACGCCGCGUGAGGGAUGACGGCCUUCGGGUUGUAAACCUCUUUCAGCACCGACGAAGCGCAAGUGACGGUAGGUGCAGAAGAAGGACCGGCCAACUACGUGCCAGCAGCCGCGGUAACAC
rnacentral:rRNA from 1 species